ACACGACUACAUUAGAUACCCGCGUAGUCCCAGCCCUAAACGAUGCGCGUUAGGUGUAUCGGUGACCACGAGUCACCGAGGUGCCGAAGGGAAACCGUGAAACGUGCCGCCUGGGAAGUACGGUCGCAAGGCUGAAACUUAAAGGAAUUGGCGGGGAGCACCACAAGAGGUGGAGGCUGCGGUUCAAUUGGACUCAACGCCGGAAAACUCAUCGGGAGCGACAGCAGUAUGAUUGCCAGGUUGAUGACCUUGCUUGACAAGCUG
rnacentral:rRNA from 1 species